UACUUCUCUUUUUUUGUCACGUUU
rnacentral:snRNA from 1 species